CAGUGUUGCUUUGGAAUUCAUUUUAUUCUGCUGCCGCAGCUAAAACAGGGUGGCAACUCAACGGCGCAACAACUAAAAUCCUCCGUCGAGCGCGUUGAAAACACAUCAGUAGCUGACGGCAAAAAUAGUUUAUAUACCAUUCAUUACCUAUUAGCAAAUAAUCACAAUCAGUGGUUAUUUUUAUUAGCGGUGAGCGGUACCGCAUGCAAAUAGUCGCAAAAUGGCGCUUAGAAUUUGGAUAAGAAACGAAAUACGUGAGGCUUACGUAAGUGCGAGGACCAACAACAACGCUGGGAAGAGAGAAAACAAGUUGUUUAGAAAACAGGGUGUACCAUUGUCACCCAGCCAUGUGGUGGAAACGAUGAUCAGAACAUCUGGGUAAGACACCCUGUUUGAGCCAAAGAGAGAGAGCGGGUGUGAGAGCAGCGCACCCACACAAGCGCAACGAGUAUACAGCAGAUAGCGACGUCGGCAGAGCGUUUUAGCCGACCAUUGCAGUACAUAUGUGAAAUCGACGAAACCGAAAAUCAGAAACCAAACGGACCACUAGCGAGCUACAACUCUGCCACGGCUACACUUUACACACUCAUGUACUCCUCCACCACCUCACUCGCCAGCGCACUCACACACAGACGCGUGCGUGCGGAGAGAGGAAGUAAAAAUAUGAAGACAAAAAAAAGCAAGUGCAUCUCACCAUGACAAUGGCGGAACCAUAAAAACACAUGUUCCCAUCUCGAAUCGAACUGAAUUCGGCGGCCAGCUCCUUCACAAAAUAAAAUAAUACAGACAAAAAAUCUGUAUACGCGCAAAAGUUGAGCUGCUAAAACAUGGAAACCUUGCAGUUAUCGAUUCGUCUCGCUCAUUGCGCAAUGAAAAAAAUGCAGCGGGGGCGGAGGAUACGAGAGAGCCUCUCUCUUUGUGAGACACCUGCAGCGAUAGGAAAUGCAAAUCCGCCUUCCACUUUCCAGCUCGAAAGUUCAAAGUUCACAUGCAACUAACUAGCUACUGGGUGCAGCGCAUGUCCGAGGUGCACCAAAGUCCCUGGACCAAACAAAAAAAUGGCACAAACCAAACUCUCCGACUUCCAGGCGCCGCAGGAAGAUCUGUCAUGGAAUGCGGCACUAGGAAAUAUUAACUGACGCUGAUCAAGUGAUAUCUGAAAUGUGGUAAAGAGGUUCCUGUCACACGGACCCAUUUCUAUAAAAAAAACUAAUUAGUUUGAUAUUCGUACGUGUUCUGCAAAUUAUCAGAUGUUUUUAACUCUCUUGAGUCACAUGAUAUUUAAUGUGAUAAAAACUUUUUGUUAUUUAUUGUUUGUUUGUCCUAAAAAAUUGACAACACAGUAAAUGGAAAACUUUACUAUAAAAUAUUUAACUUUAGUAUUAAUUCUCAUCAAAACUAUAAAUCCAUUUAAGGAUUAGAGAACCCUCUUCUUUAUGUAAAAGAUUAUACACAAAUUUACCGGUGAGCCAAAAUGCGUGUUGGAUCAAAAUUAAGAGCAAUUAAAAGGUUUUUAAAUUAAAAUAACGAUUAUAAAUUUGGGAAUAGGCUUACACGAUUGAACACAACGGCUUCAGUGUUGUUUACUAAUUCAAUACUUAUUGAAAUGAUAACAUAGUAUAUUUAAACAUACAGUUUAACACUCAAGUUUUAAUAAUAUAAUGAUGAAGGCUUGAAAAAGUUACAACUAAAUAUGUGUAAAAGUGUUCAACGUCUAAUACACUUCAACUUCGUUCCGACCAUCAAGUUCAAGAGACUUGUUCGUUGGCCUCUGGCUAAAAUACAAUUGCGAAUUGCAAACAAUUGGUUGGCGACGCGGCAAGUGUUUUUUUUUUCUCGGGAGAAAGAUCGAGAGAAGUGUGGAGAGACUGCCAAAACUGGGGAGUUUGAGUUCAGAAGUAACUUGUUUUUCAAGUUUUCAAACAGCCAAAACCAAACCAGACUUAAAAGCCAGUCGAAACUUGAGGCGCUUCACAAAGAAAAUUUGAGGAAAGCACUGAGAACGUGUUUGUGUGUGUGCAUUACAAUUGGACCUCACAGAAGCAGUGAGCCCGAUUU
ensembl:ncRNA lncRNA:CR30055 long non-coding RNA:CR30055